GCCUGCCUGGCUCAGUCGGUAGAGCACGUGACUCUUGAUCUUGGGGUCAUGAGUUUGAGCCCCAUGUUAGGUA
rnacentral:tRNA from 1 species